AGGCCAGGCACUACUCUGUCCCAACAAUAAGCCCUGUACAUUGGGAAAGGUGCCGAAGACAUGAACUUUGGUCUUCUCUGCAAUCCCUCUGGAGCAUUCAGUGACAACGUCGACUUUGAAGUUGCACUGACCUGGCCAGCCCUGCCACUUACCAGGUUGGAUAACACUAACAAAGUUGACCUUAGAAUUGGAGUGCCCGGGUUAGAACCUUGCUGGUACCACCUGCUUACUGCAUGCUUCUGAUGUGAGUUCAGGAGAAGCCACUGGCAAGGACAGCAAAGAACAGGAGAACACUCUAGCUUCCCUGAUAGCAUUCAAGGUGCUGUCCAAAGCUCUUGAGUUUCUGCUUUCAAGUGACCCUCAGAAAUGCCCCCAUUCACUGCAGAGGUUCUGUUUCUCCUUGUUUUGUUCCGACUUUAUGGCAGAACUAGGUUAAUGAGUUAAUUACUAUGAGUUAUCACUUGGAUUUGAAGAACCAUCAUUUCUAGGCUUUGCUGCUCAGAGUGGGUUUGCCCUCAGGGGAAGCUAUCUAACCAGAGCCUAACCCACUAGGGUUUUAUCAGAACCUAACUGGCCUGAGGAAAAGAAAUAUUCAACUCCAGCAAGCUCCAGCCUUCCAAACGGAGGAGGAGAAAACCCAAAUCCAGCCCACUUCAGCUAUCUUGUCCCACAUAAAGGGGGAGUGGAAGAAACGUGAGAAGCAGGCAUGAAGUUCACAGUCCGGAGGUACAGACACAUCAGAGUUCAGUAUCUGAUGAAUUAGAUGCAAAAUCCUCAACAAAGUAUUAGCAAAUUGAAUUCAACAAUGUAUGAAAAUUAUUACAUGCCAUGACUAAUUGGAAUUUAUCUCAGGUAUACAAGCCAUGCUGAACAUCUGAAAAUCAAUUCAUGUGAUCCAUCACAUUAGCAGAUUCAA
rnacentral:lncRNA from 1 species